rnacentral:lncRNA from 1 species
ACUUCAGUCUUAUACAUAGCAUAGCACUAAAUCUCAGUCAGACAAUACAAAUGUAUUCUAUAUAGCAUAUAAAUAUUCUCCCUAAUACUUUAGUCAAUGUUAUUUAUUGAUUUUCUGAACCAAACAAGAAUGUAGAAUUUCUUUGUAAUCUUGCACAGCUGCUGAAUUCUCCUGAAUAUUGGCUGUUUCACAAAGUCAG